UUGUGAGGUUAAGCGACUAAGCGUACACGGUGGAUGCCCUGGCAGUCAGAGGCGAUGAAGGACGUGCUAAUCUGCGAUAAGCGUCGGUGAGGUGAUAUGAACCGUUAUAACCGGCGAUUUCCGAAUGGGGAAACCCAGUGUGUUUCGACACACUAUCAUUAACUGAAUCCAUAGGUUAAUGAGGCGAACCGGGGGAACUGAAACAUCUAAGUACCCCGAGGAAAAGAAAUCAACCGAGAUUCCCCCAGUAGCGGCGAGCGAACGGGGAGGAGCCCAGAGCCUGAAUCAGUGUGUGUGUUAGUGGAAGCGUCUGGAAAGGCGCGCGAUACAGGGUGACAGCCCCGUACACAAAAAUGCACAUAUUGUGAGCUCGAUGAGUAGGGCGGGACACGUGGUAUCCUGUCUGAAUAUGGGGGGACCAUCCUCCAAGGCUAAAUACUCCUGACUGACCGAUAGUGAACCAGUACCGUGAGGGAAAGGCGAAAAGAACCCCGGCGAGGGGAGUGAAAAAGAACCUGAAACCGUGUACGUACAAGCAGUGGGAGCCUCUUAAUGGGGUGACUGCGUACCUUUUGUAUAAUGGGUCAGCGACUUAUAUUCUGUAGCAAGGUUAACCGAAUAGGGGAGCCGAAGGGAAACCGAGUCUUAACUGGGCGUUAAGUUGCAGGGUAUAGACCCGAAACCCGGUGAUCUAGCCAUGGGCAGGUUGAAGGUUGGGUAACACUAACUGGAGGACCGAACCGACUAAUGUUGAAAAAUUAGCGGAUGACUUGUGGCUGGGGGUGAAAGGCCAAUCAAACCGGGAGAUAGCUGGUUCUCCCCGAAAGCUAUUUAGGUAGCGCCUCGUGAAUUCAUCUCCGGGGGUAGAGCACUGUUUCGGCAAGGGGGUCAUCCCGACUUACCAACCCGAUGCAAACUGCGAAUACCGGAGAAUGUUAUCACGGGAGACACACGGCGGGUGCUAACGUCCGUCGUGAAGAGGGAAACAACCCAGACCGCCAGCUAAGGUCCCAAAGUCAUGGUUAAGUGGGAAACGAUGUGGGAAGGCCCAGACAGCCAGGAUGUUGGCUUAGAAGCAGCCAUCAUUUAAAGAAAGCGUAAUAGCUCACUGGUCGAGUCGGCCUGCGCGGAAGAUGUAACGGGGCUAAACCAUGCACCGAAGCUGCGGCAGCGACGCUUAUGCGUUGUUGGGUAGGGGAGCGUUCUGUAAGCCUGUGAAGGUGUGCUGUGAGGCAUGCUGGAGGUAUCAGAAGUGCGAAUGCUGACAUAAGUAACGAUAAAGCGGGUGAAAAGCCCGCUCGCCGGAAGACCAAGGGUUCCUGUCCAACGUUAAUCGGGGCAGGGUGAGUCGACCCCUAAGGCGAGGCCGAAAGGCGUAGUCGAUGGGAAACAGGUUAAUAUUCCUGUACUUGGUGUUACUGCGAAGGGGGGACGGAGAAGGCUAUGUUGGCCGGGCGACGGUUGUCCCGGUUUAAGCGUGUAGGCUGGUUUUCCAGGCAAAUCCGGAAAACCAAGGCUGAGGCGUGAUGACGAGGCACUACG
rnacentral:rRNA from 1 species